rnacentral:rRNA from 1 species
GCAGUGGGGAAUAUUGCGCAAUGGGCGAAAGCCUGACGCAGCAACGCCGCGUGAGGGAUGAAGGCCUUCGGGUUGUAAACCUCUUUUAUCAGGGAAGAAGCGAAAGUGACGGUACCUGAAGAAAAAGCACCGGCUAACUACGUGCCAGCAGCCGCGGUAAUACGUAGGGUGCAAGCGUUAUCCGGAAUUAUUGGGCGUAAAGAGCUCGUAGGCGGUUUGUCGCGUCUGCUGUGAAAAUCUGAGGCUCAACCUCGGACUUGCAGUGGGUACGGGCAGACUAGAGUGCAGUAGGGGAGAAGGGAAUUCCUGGUGUAGCGGUGGAAUGCGCAGAUAUCAGGAGGAACACCAAUGGCGAAGGCACUUCUCUGGGCUGUAACUGACGCUGAGGAGCGAAAGCGUGGGGAGCGAA